CUGCCAGGCCUCCAGGCCUCGCAAGACCUGGCUGUGUGCAUCACAGGCUCACGAGACCCGGGCUAUUUGCAGCAGCAGGAAGCACGAGAGUGAAGCCUGAGGGGGCUCCUCUGGAUCCCAGAAAGGCAGCACUGAAGGGGCCGUGACAUCACCCAGGCUGGGGGUUCUGCACCCCCUGACACUGUAGAUCAUGAAACCGAGGCCGAGAGAGGGGCAAGGACUUUUUCAGAACCCACCUGUCCGACACUCACCGCCUCCUCGCUCUUGUGGAGCUGGGCCGUAUCCUUCCAGGCACCCUCUGGUACCGCCCCAACUGCCGCCUGGCUCCGGCCAUCCUCUGCCUGGGACUGUGGGGACGGCUCCAGGCUGGGGAAGCAGGUGAGGGUUACUCUCGAGCUCUGGGAGCUGCCCUGGCACCUCCCUGUGCUCACAGAGCCAUCUUCCCUCCCUAGGAUGGGAGGCGCCAGAGUCAGCCUUUAUGGGGGGGCCGAGGGUUGGGGAAGUUGGGGAGGCCAGGGUAGCAGGGGCUUCUGGGAAGGGGCAAUGGGGCUGCCUCACCUGCCCUCGCCGAUGGCCUCAGUCUGCACCUGGACAGUGAAGAGCUGCCAGGAACUAUCCUGGAACACAGAGGUAUGG
ensembl:lncRNA novel transcript